GUGCUAUACUGCAGUCGAGCGACAGAUAAGGAGCUUGCUCCUUUGACGUUAGCGGCGGACGGGUGAGUAACACGUGGAUAACCUACCUAUAAGACUGGGAUAACUUCGGGAAACCGGAGCUAAUACCGGAUAACAUAUUGAACCGCAUGGUUCAAUAGUGAAAGGCGGCUUUGCUGUCACUUAUAGAUGGAUCCGCGCCGUAUUAGCUAGUUGGUAAGGUAACGGCUUACCAAGGCAACGAUACGUAGCCGACCUGAGAGGGUGAUCGGCCACACUGGAACUGAGACACGGUCCAGACUCCUACGGGAGGCAGCAGUAGGGAAUCUUCCGCAAUGGGCGAAAGCCUGACGGAGCAACGCCGCGUGAGUGAUGAAGGUCUUCGGAUCGUAAAACUCUGUUAUCAGGGAAGAACAAAUGUGUAAGUAACUGUGCACAUCUUGACGGUACCUGAUCAGAAAGCCACGGCUAACUACGUGCCAGCAGCCGCGGUAAUACGUAGGUGGCAAGCGUUAUCCGGAAUUAUUGGGCGUAAAGCGCGCGUAGGCGGUUUUUUAAGUCUGAUGUGAAAGCCCACGGCUCAACCGUGGAGGGUCAUUGGAAACUGGAAAACUUGAGUGCAGAAGAGGAAAGUGGAAUUCCAUGUGUAGCGGUGAAAUGCGCAGAGAUAUGGAGGAACACCAGUGGCGAAGGCGACUUUCUGGUCUGUAACUGACGCUGAUGUGCGAAAGCGUGGGGAUCAAACAGGAUUAGAUACCCUGGUAGUCCACGCCGUAAACGAUGAGUGCUAAGUGUUAGGGGGUUUCCGCCCCUUAGUGCUGCAGCUAACGCAUUAAGCACUCCGCCUGGGGAGUACGACCGCAAGGUGA
rnacentral:rRNA from 1 species